rnacentral:rRNA from 1 species
GCGUGGGUGAAGAAGGCCCUAGGGUUGUAAAUCCCUUUCAGCGGGGAAGAUGAUGACGGUACCCGCAGAAGAAGCCCCGGCUAACUCCGUGCCAGCAGCCGCGGUAAUACGGAGGGGGCUAGCGUUGCUCGGAAUUACUGGGCGUAAAGGGCGCGUAGGCGGAUCAUAUAGUCAGGCGUGAAAGCCCCGGGCUCAACCUGGGAACGGCGCUUGAUACUGAUGGUCUCGAGUCCGGGAGAGGGUAGUGGAAUUCCCAGUGUAGAGGUGAAAUUCGU